rnacentral:rRNA from 1 species
GAUGAACGCUAGCUACAGGCUUAACACAUGCAAGUCGAGGGGCAGCAUGGUCUUAGCUUGCUAAGGCCGAUGGCGACCGGCGCACGGGUGAGUAACACGUAUCCAACCUGCCGUCUACUCUUGGACAGCCUUCUGAAAGGAAGAUUAAUACAAGAUGGCAUCAUGAGUCCACAUGUUCACAUGAUUAAAGGUAUUCCGGUAGACGAUGGGGAUGCGUUCCAUUAGAUAGUAGGCGGGGUAAUGGCCCACCUAGUCUUCGAUGGAUAGGGGUUCUGAGAGGAAGGUCCCCCACAUUGGAACUGAGACACGGUCCAAACUCCUACGGGAGGCAGCAGUGAGGAAUAUUGGUCAAUGGGCGAGAGCCUGAACCAGCCAAGUAGCGUGAAGGAUGACUGCCCUAUGGGUUGUAAACUUCUUUUAUAAAGGAAUAAAGUCGGGUAUGCAUACCCGUUUGCAUGUACUUUAUGAAUAAGGAUCGGCUAACUCCGUGCCAGCAGCCGCGGUAAUACGGAGGAUCCGAGCGUUAUCCGGAUUUAUUGGGUUUAAAGGGAGCGUAGAUGGAUGUUUAAGUCAGUUGUGAAAGUUUGCGGCUCAACCGUAAAAUUGCAGUUGAUACUGGAUAUCUUGAGUGCAGUUGAGGCAGGCGGAAUUCGUGGUGUAGCGGUGAAAUGCUUAGAUAUCACGAAGAACUCCGAUUGCGAAGGCAGCCUGCUAAGCUGCAACUGACAUUGAGGCUCGAAAGUGUGGGUAUCAAACAGGAUUAGAUACCCUGGUAGUCCACACGGUAAACGAUGAAUACUCGCUGUUUGCGAUAUACAGCAAGCGGCCAAGCGAAAGCGUUAAGUAUUCCACCUGGGGAGUACGCCGGCAACGGUGAAACUCAAAGGAAUUGACGGGGGCCCGCACAAGCGGAGGAACAUGUGGUUUAAUUCGAUGAUACGCGAGGAACCUUACCCGGGCUUAAAUUGCAGAUGAAUUACGGUGAAAGCCGUAAGCCGCAAGGCAUCUGUGAAGGUGCUGCAUGGUUGUCGUCAGCUCGUGCCGUGAGGUGUCGGCUUAAGUGCCAUAACGAGCGCAACCCUUGUUGUCAGUUACUAACAGGUUCCGCUGAGGACUCUGACAAGACUGCCAUCGUAAGAUGUGAGGAAGGUGGGGAUGACGUCAAAUCAGCACGGCCCUUACGUCCGGGGCUACACACGUGUUACAAUGGGGGGUACAGAGGGCCGCUACCACGCGAGUGGAUGCCAAUCCCAAAAACCUCUCUCAGUUCGGACUGGAGUCUGCAACCCGACUCCACGAAGCUGGAUUCGCUAGUAAUCGCGCAUCAGCCACGGCGCGGUGAAUACGUUCCCGGGCCU